rnacentral:rRNA from 1 species
UACGUAGGGGGCGAGCGUUGUCCGGAUUUAUUGGGCGUAAAGAGCUCGUAGGCGGUUUGGUAAGUCGGAUGUGAAAUCUCCAGGCUCAACCUGGAGGGGUCAUUCGAGACUGCUAUGACUAGAGUUCGGUAGAGGAGUGUGGAAUUCCUGGUGUAGCGGUGAAAUGCGCAGAUAUCAGGAAGAACACCCGUGGCGAAGGCGGCUCUCUGGGACGGUACUGACGCUGAGACGCGAAAGCGUGGGGAGCGAACAGG